UCCCAUGACGGCAAAACAAAUUUUUAACUCAUGGCAAUUCGUGACUCAUUUUAGAAAGCUAUUCUGCGUGGUUGACCCCAUGCCAAUUUAUUUAUACCCUAGUUAGCUCCUUAAAAGGAUCUGAGGAGGCAGCAGUUGAAUUUUUUAAACGAUCAAGCAGCAAAAAGAGCACUGAAUCAAGACCACUAAAUCGCUGACCGUAGAUCUGAUGAAGUGGAGGGAGCUUUAGAUAGGAGCUUGUUGACUGGUCAAGUGAUGCAAAGGAUCUAGCUGAACGCUCUGCGACACUGGGAACAGCAUCACAGCAAGAUGAAAGAAUCCUGGAUCCCUGAGUCACUGCCUGAAUGGGAGUCACCAAAGAGAGCCAUUGUUCAAAUUUGUGUGAAUGAGAAAUAUACUUUUACUCUGUUGUGA